CGGGACGGAGCGCGGAGGCGGUGCCGCCUCACGGGGCGGUGCCGAACUGGAGCAGGAACAGCUUUCUUGAGUUUGAAAUGCAGGGGCAAGACACUCCCCUUGAAUUUCUUCAUUCUGUCACAUCAGACAGAGUAGAAGGGCUGCCUCCCUGCUCUUCUUGCCCAUGUAACAAAAUCUAUGAAAAUAUGGAUGACUUUACAACCACUGGGGCAGGAGCAAGCAAAGAGGAGAGGGAGAGCUGUUCUUCUGACACAGCAUCCCAGCACUGAGCUCAGGAAAGCGAUGGACUGGAAAAUCCUCCGUUCGUUCUGUCAAAACAGCCCCGGGCCUCGGUUGUUUUGGAGCUGCAUCCUGCUGGAGCCACAUGCAGUUAACCCUGCCAGGCCAGUGCAGGCUCUCCCCUCUGUGCAGUGCUGGGAAGGGGCUCACAUCUGCUCCUCUGAGCCUGAGGCUUCCAGGGGGCCUCUGGCAGCGGGCAUGGUUCCAUGGCACGUCACUGCCAUGUUCAUGCACACCUAUGCUCUUCCUUUUCCUUUUCCCUUUGUUGUAUUCUAGCCCUGGAGAGUAAAUUGUUCUUGUAUAACCUAUAUGGGAGAAGAAAAACACCGUGUGCCAAUGAUUUCUGUCAGGGUGCAGGGGAUAUAUUAAAUGUGAUCUGGUUUGUUGGUAGCUUUGCCAGUGCCUCAGUAGGUACUGACUCUGUGUUUAGAGUCAGAAGUGUCUUUAAAUUCCUCUUGGAAUCUGUGGUGUUUUCAGAUCAUUGAUAAUUUGAGUUGGGUGGCUUUGUCUUUCUUCUUGUCUUUUGCUCUUGAUGAUGUCCCCACUCCUCUUGAAUAUGCCCCCACUGAGAAUUCUGUUUCCUCUGGGAUGCGUGGCACCCUUACAGGUUACGGAAAGGACAACACCACUGGCUGAUCUCAACAUUUAUAAUACACUUAAUUCUCCUCAUUUUCUGAUUUAGUAAUAAAUUUUAAAGAGGAAUUGUGUCUAAUGUGGAAGACAAUGUUGAAAUUACUCAAAUAAUCAAAUAAACUGUGUAGAAGACAGGUAUAUAAUUGCUUAGAGGUUAAAAAAGUGAGAUGUUAUGAGUCUGGAGAGUUAUGAAAGUGUGUGACAAAGUAAGGUUAAGCUCAGUAAAUGAUGCCAGAGGUCUUUCCCUUAGGUAGUAAAUUCUUGGGUCUCCUCGAGUCCUGUAUGGGUCCAGAUGCCAAGAGGUGUCCUUGCCUCUGAGAUUCUAUAGUCUGAAUGAUGGAGGCUGAGUUCCAGAGCCGUUUUACAGAAAGCUGCCCCAGAAACACCAUUAAAUAAAAAACUCAUUGCCUGGUCCAGGCAGCUCCUUCAGUACUUAUCUCAAACUGGAAGACAUGUUUUGAGUUGGGAGCAUCUAUCUCAUUCCAGAAACUGGAGGUCCUGUCCUUCAGAAACAGUCUGGAACACCUUGGGAACCUAAAGAGACCACUGAUGUCCCCCUCCUGUUUCCUGAGAUGCUAAAAAAUGCAAUUGAAACAAUUGAAAUGAAUUAUAAAAGAAAUCCCAUUUAUCUUGAGAGGCAAGUGUAAUUGAAAGACUGAUGGGUGAACUCCCAGGUACCUUUACAUUUCAUAGAGUCAAUAUUUGUUCUUUCUCCAUUUAUAACCCCAUUACUCUCUCUAGGUGGGCAGGAGAUUUCAAGGGGGACCAUUUGUUUUUCUUGAUUAAUGCAUUAAUGCUGGUGGUUUGUCAUAGUAAAUUAUAUCUGCUAUCUCAACCUCUGUAUGCAGGAGGAAAAGCAAGUAAAAAAUUUAUGAUCAAAUUGCUCAAAGUCAUGGCUUCUCAUUAUUUUUAACAUAACAAAUCAACUUCUGCUCUUCAUUAUUGACUGGUGACUAACCUGAAGAGAAAAUGCCUCUUAUAUCCUUUGUUUUGCAAAAGCUCUCUAGAAAUCAUAACAUUAUUUUCCACUGCAGUGGCUCAGAUGUGUGCAGUACUAUUGUGUGGAAAUAGGUGGGAGAGAGAAACUGCUGCUUUGUCUUAUGUCUCACUUUGCUUUCCUCUGGACUCACAGCAGGGCUUUCACCUCAGAACUGGGCUUUACAAGCUUUGAGUCUCUGCCUCUUCCACUACAGAAGCAGCAGAAGCUCUGGACACUGAAGAAGCUCUCAGAUCUCCUGGAUAUUCACAGCACCAUUUGUGGCAAUAUUCUUUGGCUGAAAACCAAACUGCCUCAAAUCAGACUCCUUUUAAUGGACAAAGCUGCUUUUCCUCUACUGGCAGAAGGUUCAUUUUACAGAAGGAGCAUUAGGUGGAGACGAGCUGGUGUGCUGUGUUGGGAUAGAUUCAGUGAACUGAAAAAAAAUUGUUUUACCUUUCACUGUGGGAAAGGAAAAGGGAAUUUGAUUAGUUAUGCAUGUCAAAGAUGGGGUUAGCAAGUGAAGCAAGAAAUUACCUGUAGUAAUAAAUACAAGAGUUUCUCCAUGGACAACAAUACCUGAGAUUGAGAAUGACCAGGGAAGGGCUAUGCAUGAAACAGCACCAGGGGAUAAUUGCAGGACAGGGCAGAGCACAGCACCAGUGUUGGGCAGGGUAAGGCUGGGAGGGGGAUGCUGGCUUGUGGGUCUUCACAAAGGGAUAGUCCAGCAAAAACUGGAAAAUAUUUUGGAAUCUAAGUGGGCUCUAGUCUCUUUUUGCCUCUGCUGAGGUGUUUCUGAGGCAAGUUACUUGUGUUAGAAAAGCCAUUUUUUAUACUUAUUUUAUACUUAUUUUAUGUAGUCUCUGGAUGCACACAACCACUAAGCUAUGCCCAUACACACAGAGCUCUGCACAUAGCACUGCUGUCAGUCCAGGUAAUGCCCUGCCUGGUGAACUCUGACAUUUUCAAAUCUCUUGUAAAAAAGCUGUAAAAACCUGUAAAGUUUCCUUCCUUCCUCUGCAACCUUUCUAGCUGAUCUGGUGAGUAGCAUGACCGCAUUAGGUUUCAGUGAUGUGUGAACAGAGACAAUGACUGCAGCCAAAUUUCAGUAUGAACUUUCUGCAGUGGGAAGCAUCCCUUGCCCUGGAAGCAAGUUAACUGCAGUUCACUAAUGAUAGUGUUGUGGCUACAGAGUGUGGAGAUUUGACUGUCUUGGACUUCAAUGCCCUUGUAAAUUCCUUGGGUUGUUUUAGAUUACAUAGUCCAAUGCUGUCUGCACUGCCCAGAACACCUGGACUUUGUCACUGGACCACUGUGAAAAAAAUACCUGGUGAUAUUAUUGGCCUGAAUACUAAAAUGCAUGUGAAAGCAUAUGGUUACUCUUGAAACAGCCUUCUCAAAUGGAAAAGAUCUAAAAGAGGAAAGGAAAAUGUAUGUUUAAGUACAUGUGAAAGGAGAACACAAACCUGUUCUUCUUGCAAAUGGUAGAUGUAGUCCAUUGUUGAAUUUGCAUUGAUGCCAGUGAAAUUACACUUGGGAUUAAUUUUCCCAUUCAGCAGAAAAGCAUUUCCUCUGAUUCCCUUUGAUUUUUUACCAGUUUGUGAUCUGUGAGCCAGAGGGUUUUUGUGUAAUUUGCACUCUGUCCAAAACCAAGGGAAAUACCCUCUGCUCCACGGCAAUGAUAAAUCUGAGGGAAAAGCUGAUCUGUCCAACUUGUGUUGGAACCAGGGAAGCCAGUGAGGUUUUUUCACUGACUUCUCCAGAUCAAGCUUAAGCACAGUCUAUGCUGAAUGCUCCUGAAGGAAUGGAGUGUCCUGCUGAUCACUGUGAAUAGGUGGGAGCACAAACACAGAGCAACCUGGGCUGUAGCCGUGCUGAAGUCUGGAGACUGCAGGAUGCCCUGACAUUCCUGGGCAGCUCUAAUCAGGCUUGCCAGAGUAGCAGAAGGAGAAGAUGCUGUAACACUGGCAGACAGUCUGCUCUGGGGUUGUUUUUUCAGCUCUCAGCCCAUGUCACUGUAUCUUCACCAAGGAUAUUACACACUCCUGAAGCACUGUUGGGUCUCUUAGAACACAUCACCUGUUUGUGGUCACACUAUCAAAUUCCAAACCAUGAUUCCUUUCUGCCUGUUGGGAAUGGCCAAAGUUCCUGCCAACGCCCAAGCCAUGCUCAGAAAUGUUCUGGAUGCCAGGUGGCCUGGAUCAAAAGUGAACCAAGGACAAGUCCAGAAUGUGAGUGGCAGUCACUAUGUUCAGACCCUUAUGUGGUUCAGACUAUUAGUAUAGAGGUGGGUUUUUUGAAAAGGCUUCAUGACAAUACUUGGAAACAAUCCUUUUUGUGGGAAAGGCCUCUGGCAACAAAAAUGGCUCUUCCAGUGUAAGUUAUAACAGUAGUUUCCCUGAGGAUGGGCUCUCUGUAGAGGAUGUGUGCCCAUGAGGGACAGAAGAACCCGAGGAAUGCUGAAGGACUCUCUUCUUGUCCUACAAUCUGCUGCCUUUGCAUGCCCUCAGAGUGGAGUACAGAGGUUUGUGAUAAAUGCCCAUGGUAUCAUUUUAAGAAUGAAUGUUGAGAUUAUUCUUUUUUUUUUUUUAAUUUUAAAUCAAAUAACAUUAUAGCAUGUUACUACCAUAGGACAGGCAGAGAACUUCUAGACAAAUUAAUCUGAGAAACAAUUCUGGGUCCUGUGGAAAUUAAAGACAAUGUAAAUUAUUUGUGAGAGUUGGUAGUAAAACAGGAAAAACAAAAGAGAAGAACCUAGUGGAGAUCUCGAUUAGAAAGGGUCUGUAACCUGAAGUGACUCAUGUCUAUAAAGCAGUAGGAUUGAGACAAUUCUCCCUGGAUUAUCAUAGGUGAAAUAAUAGGAAAAACAUACUGCUGCUCACACUGAACCAGCUGGGAUGUCUCUGCUCUUCAAAAUGAAGACCAACGAGGUCAGAGAUAAGUGUCCUCAGGAGUCAAAUUCAGCUUUUCAUCUAAGAAGCACUCCCAGAGAGCUAUUGAAUAUACUCAUGGAAAUAAAGUGGUGGAAAAUAGUAAAGCCAGUACCUACCAUCAUCCAAUUAUUGGAGAAAUCUACCCAGAAAAACUGUUACAGGAGGACUUCUGAGUCAGGUCAAGUGGAGAACAGUUUCACUUUACAGAUAUCAGAAGACAGUGAAGGUCCUGAAGGUCUCAGUGAAACUUGUCUCUUUAAACCUUUAUGUGACUUGCAGUGUAGUACAAAGAUCAAGAUGACUCCAGAUUCCUGUGGGUCUAAUACAGGGAUUAAAAUCCUGUGCACAAGGUACCAACUAAACCCAACUGAGUAUGCUGAUCCCAGAAAAGUCAGCAGAUUACACAGUACCCUCUGACACAGAACAUGGAAUCAUUAGAAUAAACAGAAUUCCCACUGAGAGAGGCUUCAACACCAGUUACUUGGUAAGACAUGAGGAGAAAGUUUUCAGCUUUGUUGAGGAUCACUUUGUAGUCUUUAAAUAUUUUACUUUUGACAUUUUCAUGCAUUGGAGGAUUUUGCACCACUUUGUUCAGUGUUUCCCAGUGUUUCAGUGGGAUAAGUGCAUCACUUGGGGCUUUUACUCUGCACAGAAUUUGGUUGAAGCACUACCCCCACUUGAAACUUUUCCCAGUAUGGAGCAAAGUCCUCCAGGUUUUAUGUUCGUUUUGUAAACUGAAGUGAUUGAGUGACACAAAAUGUGAAAACUUCAAAGGCUUUUCAGUUUGAAUAUUCUGCACAGCUGUUGUUUAGCAUUGAAUAUGGAUUUUACUUGUGAGAUACUUGGUGUUGUAUUGCAAAACUUCAUUAUGUGAAGUCCUCUGCCUUCAAAUUGAUGAAAGCAAACAGUGCUUACUUCCAUGAGUAACCCCAUCUGUUUCCAUAAUACACUCUUAGGGGAAAGAUUAAGAAAAAAAGGAAACAAAGAGCUGUACUCUGCUGGGAAACUUUGCUAUUUUAUAUUGAAGUUCUGACCACCCAGUUUACAUUUCUUUCUGUAGGUAUACAUGCACGUAUACUUUGUUAUAAAUUUACAUUCAUUUACAAGGAAUGUGGCCAAGUGGAAAG